UACAGAGGUCUCAAGCGUUGUUCGGAAUCACUGGGCGUAAAGGGCGCGUAGGUGGCGCUGCAAGUCGGUGGUGAAAGCUCGUCGCUUAACGGCGAGUCGGCCAUCGAAACUGCAGGGCUCGAGCACUGUAGGGGCUAAUGGAAUUCCGGGUGUAGCGGUGGAAUGCGUAGAGAUCCGGAAGAACACCAGUGGCGAAGGCGGUUAGCUGGGCAGUUGCUGACACUGAUGCGCGACAGCGUGGGGAGCAAACAGG
rnacentral:rRNA from 1 species